GUGUCAGCCGCCGCGGUAAUACGGAGGGUGCGAGCGUUAAUCGGAAUCACUGGGCGUAAAGCGCACGUAGGCUGUUUUGUAAGUCAGGGGUGAAAUCCCACCGCUCAACGGUGGAACUGCCCUUGAUACUGCGAGACUUGAGUACGAGAGAGGGUGGCGGAAUUCCAGGUGUAGGGGUGAAAUCCGUAGAUAUCUGGAGGAACACCGGUGGCGAAGGCGGCCACCUGGCUCGUAACUGACGCUGAGGUGCGAAAGCGUGGGUAGCAAACAGGAUUAGAUACCCUGGUAGUCCACGCUGUAAACGAUGGAUACUGGGUGCUGGGGAGUUAUCUUCGGUGCCGUAGCUAACGCGUUAAGUAUCCCGCCUGGGGAGUACGGUCGCAAGGCUGAAACUUAAAGAAAUUGACGG
rnacentral:rRNA from 1 species